rnacentral:rRNA from 1 species
UGGGGAAUAUUGCACAAUGGGCGCAAGCCUGAUGCAGCCAUGCCGCGUGUAUGAAGAAGGCCUUCGGGUUGUAAAGUACUUUCAGCGGGGAGGAAGGCGAUAAGGUUAAUAACCUUGUCGAUUGACGUUACCCGCAGAAGAAGCACCGGCUAACUCCGUGCCAGCAGCCGCGGUAAUACCGAGGGUGCAAGCGUUAAUCGGAAUUACUGGGCGUAAAGCGCACGCAGGCGGUCUGUCAAGUCGGAUGUGAAAUCCCCGGGCUCAACCUGGGAACUGCAUUCGAAACUGGCAGGCUAGAGUCUUGUAGAGGGGGGUAGAAUUCCAGGUGUAGCGGUGAAAUGCGUAGAGAUCUGGAGGAAUACCGGUGGCGAAGGCGGCCCCCUGGACAAAGACUGACGCUCAGGUGCGAAAGCGUGGGGAGCAAACA